rnacentral:rRNA from 1 species
UAUUGAGAGUUUGAUCCUGGCUCAGGAUAAACGCUGGCGGCAUGCCUAAGACAUGCAAGUCGAACGAGACGCCCCAUUGAGAACGGAAAUAAAUUGGAGAGCUUGCUCAAAGAUGGAAAUAAGUAGGAUUUGGAUUCUGCGUCCAGUGGCGAACGGGUGAGUAACACGUGGGUUACCUGCCUUCAAGCUGGGGAUAACAGUUAGAAAUGAUUGCUAAUACCGAAUGUGCUAGAAAUAGUAAAGAAGCCUUUAAAGCUUCACUUGAAGAUGGGCCUGCGGCGUAUUAGAUAGUUGGUGGGGUAACUGCCUACCAAGUCAACGAUGCGUAGCCGGACUGAGAGGUUGAUCGGCCACACUGGGACUGAGACACGGCCCAGACUCCUACGGGAGACAGCAGUUAGGAAUAUUCGGCAAUGGGCGAAAGCCUGACCGAGCAAUGCCGCGUGUGAGAUGAAGGUCCUCUGGAUUGUAAAUCACUUUUAUUAGGGAAGAACGGUAAGUAUAGGAAAUGCUACUUACGUGACGGUACCUUUUGAAUAAGCCCCGGCUAACUACGUGCCAGCAGCCGCGGUAAUACGUAGGGGGCGAGCGUUAUCCGGAUUUAUUGGGCGUAAAGCGUGUGUAGGCGGUUUAUUAAGUCCGAGAUGAAAGGCUGAGGCUUAACCUCAGUUUGUUUCGGAAACUGGUAGACUAGAGUGCAGUAGAGGCAAUUGGAAUUCAUAGUGUAGCGGUAAAAUGCGUAGAUAUUAUGAGGAACAUCAGUGGCGAAGGCGAAUUGCUGGGCUGUUACUGACGCUGAGACACGAAAGCGUGGGGAGCAAAUAGGAUUAGAUACCCUAGUAGUCCACGCCGUAAACGAUGAGCACUAAGUGUCGGGCAACCGGUGCUGAAGUUAACACAUUAAGUGCUCCGCCUGAGUAGUACGGUCGCAAGACUGAAACUCAAAGGAAUUGACGGGCACCCGCACAAGCGGUGGAGCAUGCCGUUUAAUUCGAAAAUACGCGAAGAACCUUACCAAGACUUGACAUCCCCGGCAAAGCUAUAGAAAUAUAGUAGAGGUUACCCGGGUGACAGGUGGUGCAUGGUUGUCGUCAGCUCGUGUCGUGAGAUGUUCGGUUAAGUCCGCUAACGAGCGCAACCCUUGUCAUUAGUUACUAACAUUCAGUUGAGAACUCUAAUGAGACUGCCGGUAUCAAACCGGAGGAAGGUGGGGAUGACGUCAAAUCAUCAUGCCCCUUACGUCUUGGGCAACAGGCGUGCUACAAUGGCUGGUACAAUGAGCUGCAAACCCGCGAGGGGGAGCCAAUCUAAAAAGCCAGUCGUAGUUCGGAUUGAAGUCUGCAACUCGACUUCAUGAAGCUGAAAUCGCUAGUAAUCCUGGAUCAGAAUGCCAGGGUGAAUACGUUCUCGGGUGUUGUACACACCGCCCGUCAAGGCAUGGGAGUCGGUAAUAUCCGAAGUCGGUAGCCUAACCAGUAAUGGAGGGGGCCGCCUAAGAUAGGACCGGUGACUGGGCUUAAGUCGUAACAAGGUAUCCCUACCGGAAGGUGGGGAUGGAUCACCUCCUU